UUCCCUUUGCCUUUUGGUCUGGCUCUCUCUACCUUUGCGUUGGUGCCUGACCGAAUGGAAAACCCUUCUUCGUUUUGCAGCCUGUGAGCUCCGGGUACCUGGAGACAAGGCCCCUGUGCUGCCCCCACCCCAGGAGCCGUCCCCCCAGCAUUCUGCAGUCCUCUGACUAUCAGCCUGGUGUGGACACUGAGGCCCAGAGAGGUGAUGUGAUUUGCCUAAAGUCAUGCAACUAGUGGCAGAGCCCAGCCUAGAAGCCAGGUGUCCUGGAUCUCAAGAUACUCCACUGCCUGAGGAAUGGAACAGAUAUAAAUCAUAAUACUUCAGGAUCCCAUUAUGAAAAUUGCCAGCGGGGACCUGUGUCUUCUACAAGUGACUGUAGCACAAGCUGUAAGAAUGCUGUAAACGACUUGUUGGAAAAAGAAGCAUGGCCCUCAGCCCCUGGCAGU
rnacentral:lncRNA from 1 species